rnacentral:tRNA from 1 species
GCCCGGGUGUCGGAAUUGGCAGACGAUGUGGCCUUAAAAGCCACGGUCCCUCUGGGACGUGUGGGUUCGAAUCCCACCCCGGGCA